rnacentral:rRNA from 1 species
UACGUAGGGUGCGAGCGUUGUCCGGAAUUACUGGGCGUAAAGCGCACGUAGGCGGCUUUGCAAGUUAGAGGUGAAAGCCCGGGGCUCAACUCCGGAAUUGCCUUUAAAACUGCAUCGCUAGAAUUGUGGAGAGGUGAGUGGAAUUCCCAGUGUAGAGGUGAAAUUCGUAGAUAUUGGGAAGAACACCAGUGGCGAAGGCGGCUCACUGGCUCGUAACUGACGCUCAUGCACGACAGCGUGGGGAUCAAACAGG